rnacentral:rRNA from 1 species
UAUGGUGAUUAUAGCGGCGGGGAUCACCUCUUCCCAUUCCGAACAGAGCAGUUAAGCCCGCUAGCGCAGAUGGUACUAAGGUAACACUUGGGAGAGUAUGUCGUCGCCAAUU